CACGCCAAAGCAAGUGCUGCCAUCUUUUCUCGUACGUUUUCUUGUGCAUACAAGUGCUGCCAUCUUGUGGGCUACUUUGGAAGCAUAAACUACACAUUUACGCCUCGCGCCAAAAAUCUGACGUCUCCUAUGCUGCCCCCUACAGUUUAUGCACGCUCCCUAUA